rnacentral:rRNA from 1 species
UACGGGGGAUGCAAGCGUUAUCCGGAUUUACUGGGUGUAAAGGGAGCGUAGACGGCGCGGCAAGUCUGAAGUGAAAGGCAGGGGCUUAACCCCUGAACUGCUUUGGAAACUGCCAUGCUAGAGUGCUGGAGAGGUAAGUGGAAUUCCUAGUGUAGCGGUGAAAUGCGUAGAUAUUGGGAGGAACACCAGUGGCGAAGGCGGUCUGCUGGACAGCAACUGACGGUGAGGCGCGAAAGCGUGGGGAGCAAACAGG